rnacentral:tRNA from 1 species
GUGGGUGUAGUUUAGUGGUAAAACUACAGCCUUCCAAGCUGUUGUCGCGAGUUCGAUUCUCGUCACCCGCU